CCACCAGGCUAAGCAUUGUUUAUUUAUUUAAGUCUUUGUAAAACGUUUGCAUUUUCUGUGACUUUAUAGUUAUUGUUCAUGCUAAUUAUACAAGCUAUGCCAAUAUAAAGUCUUUGUUUUCAUUUUUAGAUCCGGAUCACAUACACAGGAGUCACUCAUUGAAGAUGAAUCACAGCUGGACAGGGAUCUUAGAAUAAUUGAGAGACACCAUGGUGUAAAACGAAGGUGGCUCCCUUCGGAUGACAUUUUCCAGAGAACACUGAGAGAUGUUGACCAGGAACUUAGAGGUCAGCUGAUACGACGAGCACAAAAUGAAGCAAGGGAGAGGGCCACUCUUCUCAACCUGAAAAGAAGAUGUAAUGGUAACACUACUUCUUCUCUUGACUGUAUGGUCAUUAGCAAAAUUGAAGCUCAAAGGUCUUGUGGUAAACCUAAAUUUAAUCUUUAUGUUAUCCCUGCACCAUGCAUAUGUUCACUCUAGGUACUUAAGCGUCUUUAUGCAGUGUAAGAAGUGACUGGUUUAUUCCAACUUGUCCUUUGUCAUGGGUAUGUGCUUUUGAUGUGUAUGGUUAUUUAUCUUUGGUGUAUGAAUAUGUUUCUUGGGUGUAUCCUGUCUUUCACCUAAUGCCCGUUGUAAAUAGGCACAGAUAAGUGAGUAUUGUAAUACAUCCAUUUUCUAAUGGACAUUCAAUGAUCUUAUACAUUACGGCAGAUAUUGAGUCACUGUAAGAACUAUCAGUCUUUAUAUUCUGAGGAUAACUUUUUUAAGAGUACAAUUAAAAUAUCAUUCAAUUAUUGGCAGUAAUAGAUUUUGACCUACAAACUGAGAUUUCCUUAUGCGAACUUUAGUGUCAUUUUGAAUAUCUUAUGUAGAAUUGGCUGCCACUACUUGUGUUCACAACAUCCAAAUUGAGAUAAACACUAUUUCAGAUGUUAACCUUUUAUUAUGUUUAACAUACUUCCAUAAAUGACUAUUGUAUCAUGUUUUCAUAUUGUGUUGAUUGUAUUAUUUUUACUAGUAUUUAUAUUUCUUCUUUCUUUACAGAUGGACAGGGAGUUGUUAUAAGGCUGUCCAAGCAAGUGAAUGCCUGUAACAGGAAACUGAAGAAGAUUGUUACAGAGUACAAUAAUCUGCAGUGGCCUCCACAAACUGGCAUCUUUCCAUCACAUUUAGAAUUUUGAGAAUUGUGUGAUGCCUCCUCCCAGCUGUACACAUUGUUUGAUGAACAAAUUGAAGAUCAUGGUGUUGUUCCAAAGAACCUAAAAAGUCGAGCAAUAGAAGCCCUGCAUUUGAAGACUAGAGCAACUGAAGAAAAGCUUCUACUUAAGAGAGAGAUGAACACUGUCAUUCUUCACCUUCAUCAACAACAUGGACAUUUAAGUUCAGCUAUAAAUGAUACUGCAGAUCCUGGUUCAAAAGCUGUACUUCAUCAAAACAUUAUCAUGUUAGAAAAGAAAAUGUACAGUGCAAUGAACAUGUUCAAGAGGUUUAUCGAAGUUGGUGCCCCUCCUCCAAAUCAUCACCUACCAGAGUUUAACUCUUAUUCUCAAGCACUUAUGUCUCCAGAUCUACAUUACAUAGACUAUGAUGAAAGCAUUGACGAUGGAGAGGAUGAAGAGGAUGAUGACAGUGUUGACGAAGGAGAGAACAGCAUAGAUUGUGAAUCAUCUUCAUGAUUUAUGGCCACUUACUGUUCUAUGUGAAGAGCACAUAUUCCAGUAUAAAAAGUUCAUUGAUGAUUUUCAUAUAAGCUUUUUGUUCUAACAUCUCAGUUUAUUGUUUUGAUAUUGUUGAGACAUAUCUGUUUUUUAAGUCAAGCUAUAUAUAAUCAAGGGCAUUUUAAUUUUACUCAUUACAGCUUUGUAGUCUUUUUCACAUUUAUUAAUGUUCUUGUUCAGUAUGACAUUGUUAAUGACUAAACUUUAUUUACAGUUUGAAUUUAACUCUUAAUCUUGAGAUGCUGCAUAAUCUGCUUUACAUAAUAUCUUUAAAUUUGAGCACAACAAUGAAAUAACUAAAACGUAGUGGACAAAAAUUUUGUGAUGUUCAUAUUUGAGAAAUAUUUGACUGUUAUCCAAGAAUUACAUUAUUUUGAAGGGCACUACUCUGUAUUAAAAAUUUAUUAAGAGC